ensembl:lncRNA
GUCAGAGGCCAUCUCUGAAUCAGUAACUCUGACCAGGGAAAUGCAGUUUCUUACCAGCCUGGGCCAGCCUUGGUCUUAUGCCCACUCCUCAUUCGAGAUUUCUCAGGAGGCAUGUAAGGUGGUCUGGUAUUCCCAUUGCUUGAAGAGUUUUCUGCAGAUACCAAACAAGUACAUUCAUUUCACAGCUUCCUGGCUUCCUGGGUGUCUGCUGUCAUCUUCACCCAGCGUCAAGCUCUGUGCAAGGCAAGACGACAGGCAUCAGACCGACAGAAGACUGUCCUCAGGAAGCUCUCUGCCCUGACCAGGGAGGGGUUUACACAGGGCAGUGACCGCCCUGGGGCUCAACGGAUACUUCCUCAGAGCUGAUCUCCCUUUGUGCUCAGGCUCAUUUUUUCUGGGUCCCAGACCACCUCUUUGGCUGUCCAGCUGUCCUACAG